GCAAGAAACUAGCAUGGAUCUUUGAUCCCAUGCCCGUAUCUAGAGAAAUUAUGAGGUCUCUAGGAUGGGAUAAUAGAGUGUCAUCAAGACUUCUAGCUUUAGGAAAUUACUUAAUCUCCAUUCUCAGUGGCUGCUGCUCUGAGACAGCUGUGACAGAAAGGUCCCAAGUGCUAUUGAAAACAGCUCAUCAGUUCAGAACAAAGCUGAUUAUGUAAAUUGUGCAUUAAGAUGCAGCUCCAAUUUAAUUUUACUCUGUAAAUAAAUAUCCCAUUAGCAUCCAUCUGUUGCCAGUCAGGUAAGGCCUUCUCUAAACGGAUAUGACCAAGCCCCCAGUGGCUUCUCUUGGAAUGCUGAUGGGGUGUGGGAGGGUGAGGGUUAAGACACCCAAAUUCUCUGUGUAGAACUUAAUUUUGUUCUUGAAAUGGCAAGUCAGCUAUAAAAUCAAUUGAGGGCAAGAAGAAGCUGUGAUUGGCCCAAAACAACAGGACACCUCAUCUAUUUCUGGGCCUGCUUGUCGGGGACACAUGAAAGCUUUCUCUGAUUGUUGUCAUGGAGAUCAAUAAUAAUUAUAGCUAGCCGAUUCCCUCCAAAAAUAAAAACAUUUCAGCUGAUGAGAAGCGAACACUAAAUUAGCACCCGGUCUUUCGGCUGUGGGGCAAUUUAUCAGGCCGAGCGGCACGUGAGUGUUGUCUUAGCUGAACCUGAGGAUGCAGCUCUCCCCUCAGAACGAGUUCCCCUCAGCCGUCCGUCCAAGGAUGGUUUCUUCGGUACUCUUAGCCUGAGUGAAUCAAAGACGUCGACGGAUUGAAUGAAGCAUCAUGGGGACUGUCAGCGCUAAAGCAACAUAUCAGACAGGGUUCCGUGUGCUGAAAUGAGCCUCCCACUAGAGACACUGUCACUGAAGACUGACCUGGUCCAGAUCAACUAACAACACCAGGAAUCUUCAGUAUCUGCCACUCCUCAGAAUCAGAGACCACACUGGUGGAAGCAUCUUGUCGUCUCGAAACUACCGACUUCCUUGCUCUCGAUUACCGUUCCUCUCAGGAUUAAAAAUACGGCGACAAAGCAAAUUUGUUCAAGUGAAGAAGAGGAGAAGGAAUUGAUUUUGGAGUCACAUAGAUGCAGGGUCAAAUCCUACGAUGUCGGACAGAUCCAUUUCUCCUUCCUUCAUGAACUUAUGGUUAACAAGUGCUCAGGAAAGUUGGUCCCUUUAGGCAUACAUGAAAUAAAGAAUGCAGAGUCCUCCACG